UCCAACCAUUGAACCACAAGGCCGUGGUUUGUGUUUUCCUGUCUGUGCAAGUAUCAUCUUCUUCCCUUCUUCAUCCAUUCCAAAGCCAACUAAAAGGGCGCUGCAUCCAAACACAAGAAACAGAUGCUCUUGCGGAUCCGAAUUAAACACGUUCGGUUUUUUAAUUUAGCGAUAUUAAAUCCACGAUAACCAAAAUGUAAAUGAGAAUAAUUUAUGUUUAUCUGCUAGAUGACUGUCAUUUUUCAAACAUUAAGUCUUUAAAUCAUCUAGUACAAUGUAAUCCUCCAGAGUAUUAAAAAUAUGUCGCAUUUUUUCAUUAUUAGAAUAAAAAUAUCCCAUACUGGUCAUAUUCCAAUAACGUCAGUUAUUUACACGUCUAUGAAUAAUUUAUAUUGUAAUAAUUAUUGAAUACAUCUAGUCCAUGAAGUAUAAUAUCACACAGACAUAGGCAUAUUCGUCUUUGCAUAUAUUGGAUUUUCUGCAAUUUAUUGCAAUUUACAAGGUAAUUCCCGCUUCAAACGCAAUGUACGGUUAGUGACUUUUUAAUAAAAUGGACCAGGAUUCUGUAUAAAAAUAGCUGAAAGUAGAUGUGUUCAGAUCGACUUGACGGCGGCUAGAGAACAGCGUCUUGGAGAGAGCAAGAUUUGAUUCUUCAACAAAAGAAGAGGAAGAGUACGUGUCAAAGAUGGCGAUAUGGUUGUGUUUAAUCAUUUUGGCGGGAAUGCUGUCGCCAUCGACUCCAUUGAUUUUAUAUCAAGAUGAGAUCCAUGUUCAAGAUCGAUUUCGUGGUAAGAACUACUGUUAUGGCAAUGGUUGGAAUUAUAUCGGGACACGAAAUAGAACAGUAACUGGUCGCCAGUGUCAGAGAUGGACCCAACAGACUACAUAAUUGCACAGGCCUAUCCACUUAGGCUAAUUGGCGCUGCACAAAAUUUCUGCCGUUCCAUUGACUAUGAAGAGCCAUGGUGUUACACGAUGGAUCCAAGUUCAAGUUCAAGUUGUUUAUUGCGUUAAGUUUUCCAACUUAUCAGCAUUAUAACAAUGAAAUACAAUAUUAUGUAAAAUAGUGCGGAACAAUGGUGGAGAAUGACUUACAGAAAUACAUACACAUAUACCGAUAAAACAAUCCAUCUAUAUCUAUACACGAUGGAUCCAGACGUUAGAUGGGAAAUGUGUGGCAUCCCCAAAUGCCCAUAAUACACGCUUGAUUCUGAUGAUGUACUUCCAGAUUUGUACAAUAAUAUAACAGACAUCGAUUAUUUAAAUGAAUGAAUAAAUAAUAAUAAUAAUAAUAAUAAUAAUAAACCCUUUAGCGUUGGUUACAUCUUACGUCUUUUUUUUGUGUUGUAAUUGAGUCGUAGACGACUGCAAACUUUGCUUUAAAAUACCUUGUCCUCUUACAAUAUUGCAUGUUAUUUUAGUCCAUAAGCGUACCAGGCUGGGGAGGGGUGGUAGCAACUGCCCACUACUGCUGGAGCAAAAUCUCAAAUUCGGGCAAAAACGAUACCGAUAUUCGGGAAAAAUCAGACCUUUUUACCGUGUAGUUCACCAUCCUACACCCAGAAUUAGAUGUAAUCCCUUUAUAAAAUGCGUAGUGUUUCGUUUGCAAAACUAUAUAGAUGUUUGGUAGUAAUGCUAAUAUUAAUUAAUAUGAAUAAAUGUUUUUA